UAGGGAAUCUUCCGCAAUGGGCGAAAGCCUGACGGAGCAACGCCGCGUGAGUGAUGAAGGUCUUCGGAUCGUAAAACUCUGUUAUUAGGGAAGAACAAAUGUGUAAGUAACUAUGCACGUCUUGACGGUACCUAAUCAGAAAGCCACGGCUAACUACGUGCCAGCAGCCGCGGUAAUACGUAGGUGGCAAGCGUUAUCCGGAAUUAUUGGGCGUAAAGCGCGCGUAGGCGGUUUUUUGAGUCUGAUGUGAAAGCCCACGGCUCAACCGUGGAGGGUCAUUGGAAACUGGAAAACUUGAGUGCAGAAGAGGAAAGUGGAAUUCCAUGUGUAGCGGUGAAAUGCGCAGAGAUAUGGAGGAACACCAGUGGCGAAGGCGACUUUCUGGUCUGUAACUGACGCUGAUGUGCGAAAGCGUGGGGAUCAAACAGG
rnacentral:rRNA from 1 species